CCUACGGGUGGCAGCAGUGGGGGAUAUUGCACAAUGGGGGAAACCCUGAUGCAGCGACGCCGCGUGGGCGAAGAAGUCUUUCGGUAUGUAAAGCCCUAUCAGCAGGGAAGAAGAGAUGACGGUACCUGAGUAAUAAGCCCCGGCUAAAUACGUGCCAGCAGCCGCGGUAAUACGUAUGGUGCAAGCGUUAUCCGGAUUUACUGGGUGUAAAGGGCGUGCAGGCGGCACGGCAAGUCUGAUGUGAAAUCCCGGGGCCCAACCGCGGGACUGCAUUGGGAACUACCGGGCUGGAGUGGCGGAGAGGUAGGCGGAAUUCCUAGUGUAGCGGUGAAAUGCGUAGAUAUUAGGAGGAACACCAGUGGCGAAGGCGGCCUGCUGGACGGUGACUGACGCUGAGGCGCGAAAGCGUGGGGAGCAAACAGGAUUAGAUACCCGUGUAGUC
rnacentral:rRNA from 1 species